rnacentral:lncRNA from 1 species
AGCCAUGCUAACCUAGGGCACUGGACAGGCUCUCCAGAGGUAAGAACCAACACAAUGCAUACAUAGGACAAAAGGGGACCUAUUAGACGGCCCCUAAACAACACGGGGCGGGGAGUCCAGCAAUGUCUGCUUAGUCCAUGAAGCCGGUGCCUCGGUGGUCUCAACGCACUGUCAAAAGCUGACAGGAUCCCUGACCUGCCUGGAGAUGCUCUCCUCAGUGA